UAAGUUACACACAGCUGCUGGCAAUUUUUUUUAAGAGUGUGUCUCUUUGCGUGCCUGUCAAACCGAUAGAAGAAAAAAAAAAAUACAAAAACGGUUCCGAAAAUUUGCAGCAAAACUUCAAGGAUUCAUCAACGCGAUUUAAUAGUGAAAGUAGUGUCGUUUGUAUCUGCUCAUAAUACGCUAUCGAUGUUGUCAUCAAUUAGGACGCGAUGCGGCAAAAAGCCAAUCAAGAAUGCUGCUGCAAAACAUGGCAAGCCGUUGUCGUUACUGUCGGAGCAAGGGUCGAUUAACUACGACUCUAGGUCAAAGUGGCCAUCGGAAGAACAGCUCUAAACAUUGCUGCCUUCUAUCCUCAGCAAACUGGACAACAAUCCAGUGAUCCCCGACAGCCGCUUCGGAUUCGUUUCCUGUGGCAGCCAUAUAGCAUCCCGGAGAACAAUCCAAAUAUCAAAAGGUGUCCAAAGACCAUCCCUAAAACGAAUGUUAUUCUGUCGAACAGCUGCUUCCAGUAUGAAACUGAUAACCGGCCACUGAAAAGAGAGUGGUUUAAAAUAAAUGUUUUAUGUAACAAUAUUUGAUUCAAACCUCA
rnacentral:lncRNA from 1 species